UCUUUCAGCUACUGCAUUCUGUCUAGUUAUGCGUUUUUGCUGUGCAGAGCUGCUAUAGCGCUGCACAGCAAAAACGCAUAACUAGACAGAAGGCAGCAGCUGAA
rnacentral:pre_miRNA from 1 species